UAGUAAUGAAACCCUGAUUUAGCUAGUUGCAGACUACAUGGCAGUAUAUUUCAAGGUGCUUAAUUCUCUCAUGGAAGUCUGGGUUUGCCGUAAUGUGCUCCGCUGCCAUGUUGCCAUUAAGCAGGUAACAAAUCCAUUUUAGUUCACAAAUCGUUGUUACCAUGCUUCUAUACUCAGCUUCAGUUGAGGAUCUACUCAUGGUACUCUGCUUCUUUGCUUUCCAAGAAACUAAAGAGGGCCCUAAGAAGAUGCAAAAGCCAG
rnacentral:misc_RNA from 1 species